CCGAUUUCGACACACAGGGUUUUUCAAAUGACACAUACAGUGACACUUUGCUGACCUCUUAACGCCACACAGGCUUUUACCCACAAACUUGUUAUGGACAUGUUAUAUAAAACUACAUAGUGUUAUCUAUCAAAACGACUUUCAAUUCCCAAAGGCCAGGCUUUGAAUAAGACUAAGGAGACAGCUGCAGGAAGACAAUCAGGCACUAUAGAGGCCUAGCAUUUGCGUCACAAAUCACCUAGCAACCGUACCAGCGCCAUGUUGAAAGUCCUCCAAUCGUACACAUGGCUGGCUGCAUUUUGCUACCACCUGAAACUUCAGGAAGAUUGCCCAUUAUUUCGUUUUUGUAAGGACCCAGAAAACGGAGGCAGUGGGAGAACUUAUUCAAAUACAGAGAGCUGUGAAACCCUGUCUGCAGAUGAAGAGGUCCCAAUGAAUGUCCCAAGAGAAUGAUUGUAUACCAUGGAUUAUAUGUGUACCUAUAUUAGCACAUACAGUUUAAAAGUCACACAAUGUAUAAACCUAUUACAACUGGAACAGGCCAACCCUGGUGGGUGUGCACGCUUCUGUUUCAGCCCAGCAUUAACACACCUGAUUCAAUGUAUCAAACCCAAUUAGUUAAUAAUCAAGUGUGCUAUUGCUGGGCUGGAAUGGAAGUCUACUCACCCAGUAGAUCAGGGAUCAGUGGAGUGAGGUUGGCCACCUCUGGUAUUGACUUUUUUAUUUUUUCACUUGAAAUUAUUAUUUAGUAAUAACCUACUUGUUACUAAAAUGUCUAAACUUUACAUAUGAAUUAGCUUACUUGUACACCUUUAAAUGAUAUGAAAGUGUUGAUUCUUUGAAGUUAAGUAUUUAAACUAGUUUCGAUGUUGAUUAAUAACAUCACAAUCUUGCAAUAAAGAGAGGAAGGGAAUCGGUCUCCAAUGUCUGUUUCUGUGUUGUAUUCUCAAAUGAACAUUACCUUGUCAUAAGCUCUCCAAUUAGUUUUAUUUGAUUGUCAUAAUUUUUUCAGGAUAUCAGCCAUGUGAACCCAUUUUGCAGCUGAUAACGGAAUGCAAUGCCAAUGCAGCCAUAGGCCUACAGCAAUGGUUCACAACUCUAGUCCUUGAGUACCCCCCAACAGCACAUUUUUUUCUGUAGCCCCGGAAAAACAUACCUGAUUCAACUCAGAGGGCCUGAUGAUUAGUUGACAAGUUAAAUCAGGUGUGUUUGUCCGGGGCUACAAUAAAACUGUACUGUUGGGGGUACUAGGGGACCGGAGUUGGGAACCACUGCCCUACAGUAUGAUGGCAUUAACCUUAUGGGAAUUUGCAAUGCACCCCUUGACAUUGUGCAUUUGAAGUAGAGAAUAGCUUAACUCACAUUGUUUAGCUAUAUGUUCUCAAUAUAAAAACAAUACCAGUAGACAAUGUGAGGCUAAUCAUUAUACUAGAUUUGGUACAUGCCUUGUGCUCACAUGAAAUUGUUUAGUGCAAAUCCAACCCUUGUAAUCUAGGUGGUGAAAUGUCUGGAAGUAGGAGAUGAUUGGAUCCUUCUCUUCAAACAUACAACUACUACCACCAAGUUCAAUGCCAGAUACUUUUCUCCCAGAAGGUCUGAGUGUCACUUGGAGGCGCU
rnacentral:lncRNA from 1 species